rnacentral:tRNA from 1 species
CUUUAGCUCAGUAGGCAGUGCAUCAGUCUUGAAGGCUGAAGGUCCCGAGUUGGAUCCUUGGAAG